rnacentral:lncRNA from 1 species
AUCUGGUUUAUGAGACAACUAUAAAAAAUGCCAUAAUUUUGUGCACCAAACUAAGAGAACUUUUUAUCAUGAGAUAUCAGAGAGAAAGAGAGUCAAAAAUUCUUCUUUGGGGAGUGAGGUUUGGGUGGGUUUCCUUCUUCCUUGACAUGAACAAAAAAAGAGACCGAUCUCUUCUUGGGUGAGCGACCUAGAACUGUUCUAGAAUUUUGGAUGAGAAAAAUCAAAG